rnacentral:rRNA from 1 species
AUGGGGUGCAGCAGGCGCGAAAACUUUACAAUGCGGGAAACCGUGAUAAGGGGACCUCGAGUGCCAGCAUAUUAUGUUGGCUGUCCAGAUGCCUAAAUAGCAUUUGAUAGCAAGGGCCGGGCAAGACCGGUGCCAGCCGCCGCGGUAACACCGGCGGCCCGAGUGGUAACCAUUAUUAUUGGGUCUAAAGGGUCCGUAGCCGGCCAAGUAAGUCCCUUGGGAAAUCUGGCAGCUUAACUGUCAGGCUGCCAGGGGAUACUGCUUGGCUUGGGACCGGGAGAGGUGAGAGGUACCUCAGGGGUAGGGGUGAAAUCUUGUAAUCCUUGAGGGACCACCAGUGGCGAAGGCGUCUCACCAGAACGGGUCCGACGGCAAGGGACGAGAGCUAGGGGCACGAACCGGAUUAGAUACCCGGGUAGUCCUAGCCGUAAACGAUACUCGCUAGGUGUCAGCCACGGUGCGACCGUGGUUGGUGCCGUAGGGAAGCCGUGAAGCGAGCCACCUGGGAAGUACGGCCGCAAGGCUGAAACUUAAAGGAAUUGGCGGGGGAGCAC